rnacentral:lncRNA from 1 species
GGACUCCGUGCCUGUUUCACAGCGGCUUCCAGAGCGGGCAUCGCCAGCCCAGCCCCAUGGAACGACUACACGGAAUAGGCUUUGUAGUAACACUUCUAACGGAAGGCCGCUGAGAGAGAAAUCAUUACCAAAGCUGCCUAGAACAGAUAAAACCCGAAUCUGACCCGAGGAAGUAUCUUUAGGCACUGCCCUCAGCCAGCUUUCCUGAAUGUCAGCUAAUCACUACCCAAGGUUGAUGUUCCUCACCUUUGCGAUAAUUGCAAAUGUCUGGAAAUUUGGGGCAGCUUUUUUUUCUCACAGCUCAUACAGGAAAUGCUUAGCGUUGCUCUGUCGUGCAGAACCUGCUGAAUUUCAUCAGGCCCGAUCCUCCUUGAUGACUGCGUGCACUUUCAGCACUUCGUGAGCUCAUGAAGAACACCUGUUCUAUUCAUUGCGUCGGCCGCCGAGGCCGCUGCUCACUCACCUGCUGUGACUCCCUUGUUAACAGCGAAGAGGACCGGGUCACUUUGGCCUGUGCCGUUGUCCUGCGUCUGCGCUCUGAACAGUGUUGUCAGUGUUUGCGGUGGGGUCUCUGAUCCUCAGUCCGCAGCUGCGUCGGGGAUGAUCCUCGGCACUGUGAGCCUGGAUGUCUAAGUCACGGGUUCUGAAACAGGGCCGCAAACAUGGCUUCCCUUUCCCCUGUGGGUCUUAAGCCCUUUAUCGUAUAUAAACGAUGGAUAGCUCAUGCAGAGAAUUUUCCCGGUGAAGGCUCUUCUCUGAUCGUCCUCGUCGAAGAAGAGGAGAAAGCACUUAAUACCACUACCUCGGAGGAAAGGAUUUGCUCAGAAUAUUCUAGCCGGAAGCCAUUCCUCUGGCCUGCCUAUGCAAACCACGUGCUCCCGCGCUUGCCUGACUGGAACCAGCUGUGAAGACCUGCUCUGUCCCAGCUACUUGGCCUCAUCCUCCUCUCGCCCCCUGGCCUGUCUCUUCUGCAUCCCCAAAGGAAGACCACACGGGGGCCAAUCAUGAAGUCCUCCUCUGACCCCCAACUCUCCAGGAGGAGGGGAGCCCAGGGAUGAGCCUCCCUCUCCCCCGUGCUCGGAGUGACACAUCCGCCUCCCCACUGAGGGCUUUCUUUUAGUCCUGACGCCUUCCAGAGGCACACAGGGAAAACUUUUUGUCCAGGGUUAUAACGUUUUUCACCGGUGUCGACUGAAAAUCCGCUGGAAUCCACAUCACCGGGUAAAACAGCCAGCAGUGAUUGAUCUCGUGGAAUGAGUGUAGCUGUGCGUAGGAGAGCAUGUGUUGAGAUGAGCUCCUUGGAGCUUUACUCUACUUCGACAGCGCCUUUGCUUGGCGUGACUUUAACUUCUGAAGUCAGGCCCUGAGUUGUCCUCCAACUCUGCAGUUAGACCCAGAUUGCCGGGCCUUGCUCCGAAUCCUGCAGGACUCAGUAAAUCUGGGCGCACAGAGAAUCUGAUCCCUAAAGGUUCCCAGGUGAGGCCGCGGGACGCUAGGCCCUCCCACCUGGCAGCCCAGCCCCUCGUUCUUCAGACACCGCUAAGGCACUGAAAAGGAUUCAGCAGUAGCAGGUGGCAUCCGGGUCGUUAAUCAGCUGACCAUCGAGCAGAGCCCUGGGCCUGAUGCGCGGGCUCAGUGCAGUCCCGGAAGAGGAAGUUGCUCCACCCUCAGUAGCUCUGAGGGCCGCGCUUGGCCCCUGGGCUAGGAGGAUGGACUGCAGCAGCUCCCAGACGCCGGGCUCUGGUUCACCCAGAGCUGAAUUCUGCAAACCUGGAUGACCAGGGACUCGGAGGGUUCCACAGUUUCAGAAAGAUGAGCAGCCUGGCUGGCAACUUGACCUCUGACCUACAGGAAGUAGA